rnacentral:rRNA from 1 species
UACGAAGGGGGCAAGCGUUGUUCGGAAUGACUGGGCGUAAAGGGCGCGUGGGCGGUUCGUUGCGUCAGAUGUGAAAGCCCCGGGCUCAACCUGGGAACUGCAUUUGAUACAGGCGGGCUUGAAUCCAAGAGAGGGUGGUGGAAUUCCCAGUGUAGAGGUGAAAUUCGUAGAUAUUGGGAAGAACACCUGUGGCGAAGGCGGCCCCCUGGUUGGAUACUGACGCUGAUACGCGAAAGCGUGGGGAGCAAACAGG